rnacentral:lncRNA from 1 species
GGAUGGGGUACGAACGAGGACUUGAUCAUAUCAAUCUUGGCUCACAGAAGUGCUGAACAGAGGAAAGUCAUCAGGCAAGCAUACCACGAAACCUACGGCGAAGACCUUCUCAAGACUCUUGACAAGGAGCUCUCUAACGAUUUCGAGGUUCGGUUUUCGGACUUUUAAGUAUCGACUUUUAAACAUCUUGUGUGAAGUCAUUGUAUUCUAAUUGGUUUUUUGGUCAUGGACAGAGAGCUAUCUUGUUGUGGACUCUUGAACCCGGUGAGCGUGAUGCUUUAUUGGCUAAUGAAGCUACAAAAAGAUGGACUUCAAGCAACCAAGUUCUUAUGGAAGUUGCUUGCACAAGGACAUCAACGCAGCUGCUUCACGCUAGGCAAGCUUACCAUGCUCGCUACAAGAAGUCUCUUGAAGAGGACGUUGCUCACCACACUACCGGUGACUUCAGAAAGCUUUUGGUUUCUCUUGUUACCUCAUACAGGUACGAAGGAGAUGAAGUGAACAUGACAUUGGCUAAGCAAGAAGCUAAGCUGGUCCAUGAGAAAAUCAAGGACAAGCACUACAAUGAUGAGGAUGUUAUUAGAAUCUUGUCCACAAGAAGCAAAGCUCAGAUCAAUGCUACUUUUAACCGUUACCAAGAUGAUCAUGGCGAGGAAAUUCUCAAGAGUCUUGAGGAAGGAGAUGAUGAUGACAAGUUCCUUGCACUUUUGAGGUCAACCAUUCAGUGCUUGACAAGACCAGAGCUUUACUUUGUCGAUGUUCUUCGUUCAGCAAUCAACAAAACUGGAACUGAUGAAGGAGCACUCACUAGAAUUGUGACCACAAGAGCUGAGAUUGACUUGAAGGUCAUUGGAGAGGAGUACCAGC